UACGGAAGGCAGCAGUAAGGAAUAUUGGUCAAUGGACCAUAACCUAACCCAGCCAAGUAGCGUACAGAAAUUCGGCCCUAUGGGUUGUAUGCUGCUUUUAUAGAGGAAUAAAGUGAGCCACGUGUGGUUUUUUGCA
rnacentral:rRNA from 1 species